AUGCACGCCAUGGCCGACGCCGGCGGCCCCCCGCUCAAUCUCUGCCCUCUCUGCGGCCACCCCACCACCAGCACCAUCUCUUCCUCCCGCCCAUCGUCUCCGCCAUUGGCGGCUACGAGGCCGACGCUGAAGAGGAAUUCACCACCAGAGGCGCCGCCCGCGGUGGUGCGGGUGGAGAUAGGUGACGAGGCGGCGGCACUGCGGGAGGCUCUGGCGCGGCAGCAGGCGGCGCUGGCGGAUUUGCAGGCCGAGCUGGAUGCGGAGCGGGGCGCGGCGGCCGGCGCCGCGAGCGAGGCCAUGACGAUGAUCCUUCGCCUGCAGCGGGAGAAGGCUGAGGCCAUGAUGGAGGCGCGCCAGUUCCGGCGCUACGCAGAGGAGAAGAUGUCCCACGACGCCGCGGAGCUCGCCGCCCUCGAGGAGACCAUCGCCAAGCGCGAGGCCUCGGUGCGCGGCCUCCAGUCUCUGUCACGCCUCAGCGUCGCCAACGCUGCAUCGUUGCAUUCCACCCCGCGAGUCUCCUCCACGCCGCGCAACCCGUCCACGCCAUCGACGGUUGGGGCCGGCGGCUAUUACCCACCGUUGCGAUGCUUUAGUGGCCGCUUUAAUGACCACCCGCCGACCGCGUCGGAGGCGGACGUGCUCGACAUGCAGACCCCGCGCGACCACCUCGCGCGCCUCUCCAACCGCGUCCAAAUCCUCGAGCACCGCGCACCGCCCACAUCCACCACUACGCCCAUCAUCCGCGUCGCGCCGGGCUCCACCUUCCCCCGCAACCCGCGUCCAUUCUCCGACACUGACAGCCUUGACUUCUGCGACGGCGAGUACUUCCCGGACGACGACUGCGGCGCCAGCGAUCGGGUGUACACCGUGGACGCCAUCCACGGCCGCGGUGUUCCCCUGGUCGUGCCAGAGGGCUCCAUCUGUGGCGGCACUCCGGCUGGGAGCGACUGCUGCGCCGGCGGGCCGUGGGGGGAAGACGAGGAUAUGCGUCGGCUCAGCGCACGCCUCCAGGCGCUGGAGGCCGACCGAGAGACCAUGCGCCAGGCCAUCAUCUCCAUGGGCGCCGAGAAAGCGCAGGUGGUGCUUCUCAAGGAGAUCGCGCAACAGCUGUGCAAGGACGCCCCGCCACCUUUGCCGGCGGUGACCGUGGGGCAACAUUACUACAAGGGGGCAACGCCACCGGCCGUGACCGUCACUGUACCACGGCCGCAGCGACCGAUGGUCAUGCACAGGAUGGUGCUCAAGAGCCAGCCCACGAGGACGUCAUUCUUUUCUACUGUAGUCAAGUGGGUCGCAUCUAUCGUCUCCUGGCGAAGGAAAUCUUCCCGUAUCAAGUACCCUAUUGGCCAAUGCGGUAACAAUGUCGGGUUGAUGUUGCUGCUCGACAAGUCUUCAAAAUCUGCAGGCAACGGGCAUCAUAAACCUCCCAAAAGGAUUUAG
rnacentral:rRNA from 1 species